GCUUGCUGCUUUGCUGACGAGUGGCGGACGGGUGAGUAAUGUCUGGGAAACUGCCUGAUGGAGGGGGAUAACUACUGGAAACGGUAGCUAAUACCGCAUAACGUCGCAUGACCAAAGAGGGGGACCUUCGGGCCUCUUGCCAUCGGAUGUGCCCAGAUGGGAUUAGCUAGUAUGUGGGGUAACGGCUCACCUACGCCACGAUCCCUAGGUGGUCUGAGAGGAUGACCACCCACACUGGAACUGAGACACGGUCCACACUCCUACGGGAGGCAUCAGUGGGGAAUAUUGCACAAUGGGCACAAGCCUGAUGCACCCAUGCCGCGUGUAUGGAGAAGGCCUUCGGGUUGUAAAGUACUUUCAGCGGGGAGGAAGGCGAUGAGGUUAAUAACCUUGUCGAGUGACCUUCCCCGCAGAAGAAGCUCCGGCUAACUCCGUGACACCCCCCGCGGUAAUACUGACGG
rnacentral:rRNA from 1 species